rnacentral:lncRNA from 1 species
UAAAUUCUUUAUAUAUUUAAAUAAAUACAAAAGAAUGAUUAUAAAAAUAAAAAUAAAAGAGAACAUUAAUCGGCCAUCCGAAAUGUUCCGAUUAAUUUCAUCGCCAUGUUACUAUUAACAACUAAAUCAAUAAAGUAGUACUCAGUUGCUAGCUAGCUGCAACAAAAAAUUCAUUUGAGAUUAGGCUGCCGCAUUAAAUGGAAUCAUUUGGUCCGAUUGGUAGCCGUGGUGGAGCCAUAACUCGGCCUGCAAAGGCCUUCUGGUUGAUGCAAGGUGGGCCAUUACUUCCAGGAAUGUUGGUGCAGCCAUUGUGUUCAGAAGGAGUAGGUUCUCCCUUUUGGACAGACUGUAGGACAAGAUCAUACCGAUUUAGAACACGGCCGGAAGCCUCGUAUAGAUGAGUGCUUACAAGAAAAAUAACAGCUGCGGUGACAAGAAAAUGUAGAUUGCUCAUUUUGAUGUAUAUGGUAUCUAGCCCUGGAGUUUGAGGAAAUUAGAUUGUAAGGUAGGCCUAUUUAUAUGUGUUUAUCACAACUUGAAUGACUAGAAUACAUGGCUCUUGACUCAUGACCUGAAGAAAACCAUGGCUUACAAAUUGAAUCAAAGGAUUCAAUGUAAAAAAAAAAAAAAAGGAUGCAGGUCAAGUAGGAGGCGUCGUCACGUAACUAUAAAAUCAGAUAAAUCUGUUUUAAUUGGCAUGUGGAUUGGACUAUGGACUUUUGGGGUUUUCUUGGUCGGCUAUGCUUUCUCUUCUGAAGCUUUUUAACGUUCCCGGACUGGUGGAAAUAUCAGCAAAGUGACGACCAUCGUUCAUUGGCUUACAUAUAAAGAUAAAAAUUAUUAAAUGGAUACGAUUAUAUUCAUAGCUGCCUCAUUUUAUUAAGAAAUAUUAAUUAAGCGAAGACAAACUUGGUUGGGAUGAAGAUUCUGUUUGCAUGGCCCAUGGUAUCUGUACCGUUACUUCCUCAGCAGGCACUUUUGAAGGUGAGGAAUCUUAGGGGACACGUAACUACUAAGGUUUAAUUCUUUGAAUAUGUCUGAAAUUUGAGUCACAUGUUUUCAAAUUACACGAAAAUAUUUCUUUUCUGGGGAAAAUGGAAAUUCAGUCAGUCACCAUGAGGAAAGAGACAGUGAAGCUUCAGGAAAUGGGGGAUAAAAACGUCUGACUGCUUCAACAUUGUUUUAG